AGAUGAUGUGCUCUGAGUCUGAAGGCAAAGUCAAAAUUGUUGAAGUCAUUUUUCCAGUUUACAUGGUUUGUGUGUUUGAGUCCGUCUCUCUUGUUGUGUGGAGGUGACCUUCUAUGUGACAUGGUCUGCUAUGUCCGCUACAUGCAGCUACAAGUGGUGUUACGUUAGUUGUGAAUUCCAGCAGUCACCUAACAACACGGUGACUGGCUAUACUCAAUUAUCUCCUAGUGUUUCAAACAGUCGAGAAUAGAACACCAGCUGGAGAUGGUGAAAUAAUGUUUGUACCACCGAGGCAGGCUGAGGUUUGUGGCCUAACCGGAACGCAACUGUCGACAUACAUUGGUGGACGCUUUUUCACAAGUUUCGUCUACAAUGUAGUCGACAUUCUGAUGGCGAUCAAGCGGCGACUGGGAGUGGGUAAUAUUUCCCCAAACAACCCGUACAGUCCACACAUUCUGUUUGGCAAACGACUGGGAUUGGUCAGCAGUUUAUCAGCUCGGUGAUCUGGUGAUACAACUUUCGGCAUUUAAACAUCCAUCCGAAGAGCAUUGACGGAAACUUUGUGGCUGCUGGAAUUUGGCAAGACAUGGGUCGCCGUGGAAAAGCAAUCGAGUUACUCCAACGUGUUGUUGCCGUGUCCCCUCGUGAUGGUGAUGCCCUGUACAACCUCGCUACACUCUAUGCUGAGGAAGGACACAAGAAGAAGGCAGCAACAUCACUGAAGAGUUUGGUGAAGUUCAAUGCCAAGGAUCAUGGCGCCCAUUCGUUCCUGGCUGAGUUGCUGACAGAACUCGGAGAUGAGAAGGGUGCAUCAGAACACCGGGACACUGCCGACAAGCUAAAGACAAGAAUAAGAGAGUGAUCUGAGAGUGAUCUGAGAGUGAUCUGAGAGUGGUCUGAGAGUCUAUCUCUCAUUGACUUUCACGGUUUCGGGUAUCUUGGCGGACUCUCCACUUCUGUGAUGAUGGUACAUCAUUCAUUGUUCCAAUCCAUCGUCACACUGAUUUGUAGUAAAAUGGUUAUAUUGAGAAGUGUAGCUAUUCGAAGUUGUCCGUGUUCAGAGCGUGGGGUAUACAGGUACUGCAAACACACUGGCGAAUUGUUAAACUCGUUUGUGUAUGAAUUCCCUAACAUUUGUACUGCAAUAUUCUAAACUCGUAAGGCCGCAAAGUUACACCUGGCACCAGUGAUAUCGUUCUGCAGCUGUCUGCCCUCACACCCGGCCACAUAUGCAUUUGUAUAAUAGUGUACAUUGUUUACAAAAACAGUUCGUUUCCCUGUCA